GAAUAAUCGAGCUGCACUGACAAUCGGUUCCUUUUUUCAGAUGAUAGGGACGAUGCUUCUAAUGAUUUUGACAUGAUAUAGAUAGGUAAGUAGAGUCUUUUUUUUUUCUUUAGCCGAGGAUCUAUUGGAAACAGUCUCUCAGCCCAUCCAUGGUAGGGGUAGGGCUGCGUACAUCUCACCCUCCCUAGACCCCACUUGUGGGAAUACACUGGGUCGUUGUUGUUGUUGUUGUUGUUGUUGUUGUAUAGAGAGGUAAGCACGGGUUUGUCAUCGCUAUAAAUCAGUAUUUUAUUUACCAGUUAAAUGUCUGUAUAUCUCCAAUCGCAGAAAAUGCUGAGACCAUAAUUAAGUCAAAAUUUUGACUUUCUGGAAUAGUUAUGGGAACCAUGUCCUGAGCAUAUGUUCCACUUUUUAAAUGAGAGGACUCUUUCAAUAUGUAAAAUAUUUGAACAUUCCAAGUACAAUGUAUAUGGUGGAAAUUUCAUUCAUUUGUCUUUAUGAGGUUUCCUUUCCGCAGAGGGAGAGGGAGAGGUUGGGCAACAGGGCGGCAAGAGAUGCUCCAGUGUUGGAACUUGUAGAUUGCUGCUAUGUUCUUGUUACCGUUGAUUUUUUCUCCAGCUCCAUGAAUGGAUUGUACUUUGUGCAUUAUAUAUGUCAUAUCAAAUUGAAGUAUGAUGUUAAAUAUCCAUGUUCCAUGCUUAAAGUAAUAGAUCUCACUUGUAGUUAUUCCCAAUUUCGUGACAACUUUUAAGAGUAGUUUAAAGUAUGAUCUGAAUUGUUCAGCUCGAGUCAAAAUGUUAUAGUAUUGGUGCUACUUCUAGGUUAGCUCCCUCGAUUUGAUAGAUUUUGCUAACUUUUUGUGAAGCCUGCAG
rnacentral:lncRNA from 1 species